rnacentral:rRNA from 1 species
UACGAAGGGGGCGAGCGUUGUUCGGAAUUACUGGGCGUAAAGGGCGCGUAGGCGGUUUACCAAGUCAGGCGUGAAAGGCCUGGGCUCAACCCGGGAACUGCGCUUGAUACUUGUAGACUUGAGUCCGGGAGAGGAUGGCGGAAUUCCCAGUGUAGAGGUGAAAUUCGUAGAUAUUGGGAAGAACACCGGUGGCGAAGGCGGCCAUCUGGACCGAAACUGACGCUGAGGCGCGAAAGCGUGGGGAGCAAACAGG